rnacentral:lncRNA from 1 species
UUUGAUAGUCAAGGUCGUCAGUCGGGCGUACUUUCCCCCGUCGUGAGUCGAGCGUGUUUGUUGAGUCGGAAGCCGACCGACCGUGAUAAAGGUUCGGUAGUCGGGUCUCUUCCGACGCGUUCAGUCGAAUGUCGUCCGGCGCAUUUAGUCGAGGGAGCACCGAUAAGUCGGACCCCGAUACCCUUGUGUCGGAUAUCUGUACUGCGCCUCACGAUAUACGGUGGUAAGUCGAAUAUCUUCCGGCCGGCCGUAGCCCGGUCGGUGAAUCAUGAAUGCGACCGAGGUCGCAU